ensembl:lncRNA
AAAAAACUUAUUCAUAAUAAAAUACAUAUUAAAUAUAUUAGUAAAAUAAAUGCAGAAGUGAAGUUGCUCUCAUUCAUUUUUCCUAAUUAAAAAAAUGUUUCAGAUUUAGAAAACUACUUUUGUACAGUAGAAUGAAAACCAUUUAAAAAUGGUUUCAUUCUAGAUGGAGGAGCAGGUGGCAUCAUAUGUGCAGACACAUUGAGGUCAUGUCACAAUCUGAAUACUACUGAAUACUGUUUAAUCACUCUGUUACUGGAUGCUUUUGAUUGCUGCAUUUAUUUUAUUCCACUAGUAGAUAUAGUAAACAAUAACAGAAUAUUUUAUUUUAUUUAAUUUUUUCUCCCUCCACUAGAAGAUACAGUCCUUGACAUGUAAACAAUAACAUAGUUUUCUCUAUGGGUUAUUAUAUACACAGUUGUUAGGUAAGCAGGUGUUUGGCAUCAUAGAUAUUACUAUAUAGUGUAUUUUUGCACAUUUUGAGCACUGUAAUGAUAAAUCGCCCUGUAGGACUGGAGCUAUUUGUUUUAUAAUUUACAGUAAGCAAUGAUAAAGCAAUAUUUAACAAGCACAGUGUAAAAUGAUGUACCUGCUAGAAUCUUAUGCUAAGGGGAGUCAUUAUUGACCUGUAGCUGUGCUGAGCACCAGUGGUGUGUUCUGUGUAAGACAUGAUGUGUUAGUUAUAAGGUGUGAUGAGGUCCCUGUACGUAUUGCUGAUAACCUGUUAUCUCAUGCUGCCCCUCUGACUCCUCACUGCACCAUGGGUAGUCAUGCAAAACCAGAGCUGCCUUUUAAAAGAAGAACAGGGAUUACCAUGCUAAAUCAAUAUAAACCAACCUACAAAACCCUACUGUGAUGCUUUCUCUGGCUUUAUUAUUACAGUCUCAUGUCAUUCGUGUCUUUCUUUCUUUUUAUUAUUUAUAACGCAGGCUCUGGUUCAUGAUGAAAUUUUGCAUUGCAUAUUGCAUUUCUCUUUCUCACUGUGUGUGUGUGUGUGUGUAUACACACACACACAUACACAGAUUGUGCAUCAUUAAAACAUGAAUUGAAUAUGCCUUUUAAAUUCCAAUUAAACUGAAUUAAAUUUGGAUUGAUGAAGCAAAC